AUGAUUCGGCCUUGGUCGGCCUUGGAGCACGACCUGAACCUAGCACGUAUGUAGAUGUGUCACAAACGUUAGCAUCGCGACGUUGCUAGAACGAUCGGCGGUCGUUAGACGUUGGUCGAACGAAACGAACAAAUUGAAAAGAAGAUUCGUAACGUUCGGCCAACGUACCGAUAAAAGUACGCGCUCGCAGAGCACGAGGCAGAACUAAAAUGUGUUUAAAAUGCGGCCAAAAGGAAGAUGAAAAUUUAUUUUAUUCGUGGUUUGAUAGAUCACGCGCGGUUCAACAACAAAAUGAAAAUAUAAAACAAAAUGUGAAUUUUAAGCUGUUCAAUAAACUAUAAAAAAUUAUUUAAGUAAGAAGGAAGAACUAUUGAAAAAGAAAAAGGUGUUCACAACGUCCUUAAUUUAAAACACAGCAUGAAACUAAAGCUGAGAUGUGCGAGGACUCGAAAAUUUCGAGACAGGACCUUGGCAGUGUUACGGCUUAGCGUGCUUGCAGAUCCAAGGAUACGGCGCGUGAUAGCGGUGGAAGAAGCGGAUGGAAACGUGGCGACGUCUGGUGGGCGCCAUCCAAAUUAACGGCGCGAAAUUCAAACAGACAAAUGAAUUUAUACUAAUUUGCGCUCUUAUAAUGAAUAGAAUAAAUUAAGUUUACUUAUAAAAUAUGU